rnacentral:rRNA from 1 species
AUACGAGGGGUGCAAGCGUUGUUCGGAAUUACUGGGCGUAAAGGGAGCGUAGGCGGAGAUUCAAGCGGAUUGUACAAUCCCGGGGCCCAACCCCGGCUCUGCAGUCCGAACUGGAUCUCUUGGAUAGUUCAGGGGCAGGCGGAAUUCCUGGUGUAGCGGUGGAAUGCGUAGAGAUCAGGAAGAACACCGAUGGCGAAGGCAGCCUGCUGGGGACUUAUCGACGCUGAGGCUCGAAAGUGCGGGUAGCAAACAGGAUUAGAUACCCUGGUAGUCCGCACCGUAAACGAUGCAUACUGGGUGUCCGGGGGUUCCCCCGGGUACCGUAGCCAACGCGUUAAGUAUGCCGCCUGGGGAGUACGUACGCAAGUAUGAAACUCAAAUGAAUCGACGGGG